rnacentral:miRNA from 1 species
AUCCAAAUCCACCAUCAACGUUUCAGCUCCUCAUGGAGCUUUCAUCAUGUCCUGAUGAAAGCUCCAUGAGGAGCUGAAACGUUGAUGGUGGAUU